ACUCAAAUGAAUUGACGGGGGCUCACACAAGCGGUGGAGCAUGUGGUUCAAUUCGAAGCAACGCGCAGAACCUUACCUGGGCUUGACAUGCCAGGAUUACCCGGAUGAAAGUUCGGUAGGCCCCGCAAGGGGUACAACUGGUACAGGUGCUGCAUGGCUGUCGUCAGCUCGUGUCGUGAGAUGUCGGGUUAAGUCCCUUAACGAGCGAAACCUUUGCCCUUAGUUGCCAACACGUAAUGGUGGGGACUCUAAGGGGACUGCCGGUGUCAAACCGGAGGAAGGUGGAGAUGACGUCAAGUCCUCAUGGCCUUUAUGCCCAGGGCCACACACGUGCUACAAUGGGGUGCACAAAGCGAACCAAAACUGCGAAGUCGAGGAAAUCGCAAAAAUCACCCCCCAGUUCAGAUUGGAGGCUGCAACUCGCCUCCAUGAAGUUGGAAUCGCUAGUAAUCGCGGGUCAGCUACACCGCGGUGAAUAUGUUCCUGAGCCUUGUACACACCGCCCGU
rnacentral:rRNA from 1 species